rnacentral:rRNA from 1 species
CAGUCGCCGCGGUAAAACGUAGGGUGCAAGCGUUAAUCGGAAUUACUGGGCGUAAAGCGUGCGCAGGCGGUUUUGUAAGUCUGUCGUGAAAUCCCCGGGCUCAACCUGGGAAUGGCGAUGGAGACUGCAAGGCUAGAAUCUGGCAGAGGGGGGUAGAAUUCCACGUGUAGCAGUGAAAUGCGUAGAUAUGUGGAGGAACACCGAUGGCGAAGGCAGCCCCCUGGGCUAAGAUUGACGCUCAUGCACGAAAGCGUGGGGAGCAAACAGGAUUAGAUACCCCCGUAGUCCCUGUCUCUUAUAC